UCCGGUGGUGAUGCCUACGUGGUUCCACCUGUUCCCAUUCCGAACACAGUAGUUAAGCACGUAAAGGCCGAAAGUACUUGGCUGGAGACGGCCCGGGAGGAUAGGAAGCUGCCGGUU
rfam:Schwartzia succinivorans DSM 10502 genome assembly, contig: EJ98DRAFT_scaffold00004.4